rnacentral:lncRNA from 1 species
UGUCGAAUAUCUCUAAUUCGUCGUUUACUCUACCUCUUGUAACCCGACGCUAGUCUAGAGGUAUAAAUUGCCCAUAAAUUUAACCGUAGGCUGAGCUAUGAUUCGUACGACCAAGUCUACGCCCAGAGUGGCUAGCAAUAGGGUUAGCAGAGUCUAGUUUACGUCCAGAGUGGCUAAAUUACGACUUGUGAAUCUAGUUUCGGG